rnacentral:rRNA from 1 species
AGUGAACGCUGGCGGUAGGCCUAACACAUGCAAGUCGAACGGCAGCACAGUAAGAGCUUGCUCUUACGGGUGGCGAGUGGCGGACGAGUGAGGAAUACAUCGGAAUCUACUUUUUCGUGGGGGAUAACGUAGGGAAACUUACGCUAAUACCGCAUACGACCUACGGGUGAAAGCAGGGGAUCUUCGGACCUUGCGCGAUUGAAUGAGCCGAUGUCGGAUUAGCUAGUUGGCGGGGUAAAGGCCCACCAAGGCGACGAUCCGUAGCUGGUCUGAGAGGAUGAAUGGAGAAAGUGAGAAUGAGAAACGGUGCAGACAAGGAAGGGCGGCAGCAGGGGGGGAGAGUGAAAAAGGGGCGGAGGCGGGAGCCAGACAUAACGGGUGGGUGAAGAAGGCCUUCGGGUUGGAAAGGCCUUGUGUGGAGAAAGAAAAGCAGCAGGUUGAAACCCCGCUGAACUGACGGGACCCAAAGAAUAAAAACCGGCGAACUUCGUG